CUAAUCAUGUAUAUAUCAUGAUAUAUAUUUAUAUGAUUUUUUAAAUUUUCAUUAGGAAUACAGUUUCCCAAAGAGAAUUCUUCACAUUGUGGGAAAGCAAGAGAGCCUGGUGAUGCCAGCACGUUAUCCUAGACGCUGUGGGUACUCCCUUAGUUUAUCACAACAGCAAAGUUGGAGUGAAUGUCUUAUUGUAUGAUCAUAGAGAAGAAAAUCUCCAUAGUUUUACAGAUUUUCUAUUGACAGAGUUAGCAGUCUGGCCUCAGUGCUGGGGAAUUGAAAAGACCCACCGGCAGCCUGAAAAAGAAGAGCUUCUUGAUCAGUGCAGUGAACUGCGCUGCGACUUCAGCCUCAUGUUUACGUAGAUGACGGUGUCCCCCACCAUUGUUGUAAGCACAAACACAUCAUCAGGCACCCUGGAAAGAAAACUCCUCUGCUUGUCCAAAUUAAACUCCGAAUUCA
rnacentral:lncRNA from 1 species